AGCCGCGGUAAGACGAACCGUGCGAACGUUGUUCGGAAUCACUGGGCUUAAAGGGCGCGUAGGCGGGCUCGCAAGUCAGGGGUGAAAUCCCACGGCUCAACCGUGGAAGUGCCUUUGAUACUGCGGGUCUUGAGGGAGGUAGGGGCGUGCGGAACUUCCGGUGGAGCGGUGAAAUGCGUAGAUAUCGGAAGGAACACCGGUGGCGAAAGCGGCGCGCUGGACCUCUACUGACGCUGAGGCGCGAAAGCCAGGGGAGCAAAC
rnacentral:rRNA from 1 species